rnacentral:tRNA from 1 species
GAGAGAGGUUUGUAACAGCAAGGAUUGCUAAUCCCUGCCCCCGCGGUUAA